rnacentral:lncRNA from 1 species
AAUUUUACACAAACCGGCUAUCAAAGAUGACGACGGUGGUCAGCUGAGCUGAGAUUGGUAAAAAGGUACAGCUAGCAAUGAAUAAGAGCCUCACCUACUCAGCAUCUUCCUUUUCUCUUCUUCCCUUUUUUAGCUUUCUUCAUUUUCAUUUCUACGUAUAAGUUUCUUACUCAUAAACCCUUUCCGCUUCUCUUAAUUCUUUUCUCUUCAGGUACACUUCUUUCAUUCACACUACCUAUAGCCUAUAGUUUUAGUCUUGUUUUUCCUUUUUCGUUUGUUCUAUUUGAAUCCCCUGUUUAGAAUUGCUGGUUCUGUUUAUCAUUCCUCAGAAAUGUUCUGUUUUUUUUGUAAAAUUGAGUAUCCCUCUUAUCCUUUCCUAAAAUUUUACCGCUUCUUUUAAAACUCUGUUUAUUUGAAGUUUAUGAGUUUAAGAUUGUAAGUCUUUUUAAGUUAUUGAAUUUUAAAUUAAUAAUUUGAACGAAUUUUCCCCCACAAAUAUAUGGUUUAAAUUAAAGUUAAUAUUGCAGUAUUAUUCGAAGUGGCAAAAUCAGGAAUUUUGCGGAGUGUGUUCAACCACAUAGGCCCGUAAUUUGUUGAACACAUUUUGCCCGAAAAUUAUACUAUGUUGUAUAGAAAAUUAUACAUUACUUUUUAUAUAUAUAUACACGGUGACAUAUAUUAUAACAUAAUAUAAAAAUCGAUUUUGAGAAAAAUAUAGCUUUUAUAGUGAAUGAAUGUUAUAUGAUGAGUAUGUUGUUACAGAGUAAUUUUGAACAUCCUUGAACAAUUUUUGUCAAAUUUUUUGGCUUUGUCGCUAUUUAUAUACACUAUAUAAUUUUUUGACAAAUGGUGUUCAAUUGCUAUCUUUGUACUUUUCUGUAGUUUGAUACUUAUAUUUGAGGCCCCUGUUUAGUUGCUGGUACUGUUUUUCUUUCCUCUUGUGCUUUCAGAGUUUUUCUUAGGUAUUUUUCUGCUUAUCUUUAAAAUUGAGCGAAGCUAAAACAAUGUUAUGUAUUUCUGUUACCCUUUCCUAAAACUUCACUAUUUUUUUUUUUUACUUGUUUUGCUUGAAAUGAGCCAAACUUUGACUUCUAUGCAUAAAGUUUCAAUUUUUACUCUGCUAUUUGCAUUAUUUUGAUGUGUUCCUAACAUUUUUUUCUUGAUAUAUUUCAGGGGAAUGUUCAUUAGUGGAGUGAAUUUUUAAGAAGUUUUGAUUACUCAGAACUUUUCUGCAUUUUAAGGGCUCUGUGACUUCCUGCAUUUCUUGAGAGGUAUGGUUUUGAAUUUGUAUUUGCAGUUUUGAAUUUUCUUCGAUUUAUUUAAGUAUUAUCAGUUCAUCCUCAUUUUCAUUAGUGUGCUUGUUCAUUCUCACACCAGCUUAUUUGUUUUAUUUUCUAAUUUUCCUUUUUUGGCCAACUGUAAAUUAAUUUGCCAAAUGUAAGUGACAAGAAUCCAAAAAGAAUUUUCAACCUUUUUCUGCUAAAAUGGGCCACGCUCCCCUUUGUGCUGGCUAGCAUCAUUGUGACAACAUUGCUCCAGCUUGAAGCUAUGUUGGGGCUGAUGGUGGCCCCUAUCCUUCACCGUAUGCUUACGCCAAAAAAUACUCGGUCCGUCUCAUUUUAUGUGAAGGUGUUUGAUGGUGCAAUGUUUAAGAAAAAAACAUUUUUGGAACUUAUGUCUUAAAAUUCCGGUGAGUAUAAAUUCAUGUCAUUAAGGAUAAUCGCUGCAUGCUUGCGCUAGUAAAUUCUCGGUCUGUUUUAUGUGAAGGUGUUUGAUGGUGUGAUGUUAAAGAAAAAAAGUAUUUUUGGAAAUUGUGGUCUUAAAUAUGCCAUAAUAUUACUGUUCUAUAAAAUUAUGUCAUUAAGGAUAAAAUGAGAAGUUUAACUUAAAAUGUUUCUGAAUAUCAAAAAGGUCAAUUUUUGGAACAUACCGAAAAAGGAGUGUCACAUAAAAUGUAGCCAGGGGCGGCCCAACCAUAAAGCAACUGAAACACUUGCUUUAGGCCCCAAAAAUUUAAGGGCCCCAAAAUUACUAGUAUU